UGCGCAGGCGGCCCGAUAAGUCAGGGGCGAAAUAUGACGGCUCAACCGUCAAACUGCCCCUGAAACUGUCAGGCUUGAGUCCGGGAGAGGUAGGUGGAAUUCCAGGUGUAGCGGUGAAAUGCGUAAAUAUCUGGAGGAACACCGGUGGCGAAGGCGGCCUACUGGCCCGGAACUGACGCUCAGGCACGAAAGCAUGGGGAGCGAACG
rnacentral:rRNA from 1 species